UAUGAAAAUGCCCUGAGGGUGUUCAACAUCGUCUUCACCUCCCUCUUCUCCCUGGAAUGUGUGCUGAAAGUCAUGGCUUUUGGGAUUCUGAAUUAUUUCCGCGAUGCCUGGAACAUCUUCGACUUUGUGACUGUUCUGGGCAGCAUCACCGAUAUCCUCGUGACUGAGUUUGGGAAUAACUUCAUCAACCUGAGCUUUCUCCGCCUCUUCCGAGCUGCCCGGCUCAUCAAACUUCUCCGUCAGGGUUACACCAUCCGCAUUCUUCUCUGGACCUUUGUGCAGUCCUUCAAGGCCCUGCCUUAUGUCUGUCUGCUGAUCGCCAUGCUCUUCUUCAUCUAUGCCAUCAUUGGGAUGCAGGUGUUUGGUAACAUUGGCAUCGACGUGGAGGACGAGGACAGUGAUGAAGAUGAGUUCCAAAUCACUGAGCACAAUAACUUCCGGACCUUCUUCCAGGCCCUCAUGCUUCUCUUCCGGAGUGCCACCGGGGAAGCUUGGCACAACAUCAUGCUUUCCUGCCUCAGCGGGAAACCGUGUGAUAAGAACUCUGGCAUCCUGACUCGAGAGUGUGGCAAUGAAUUUGCUUAUUUUUACUUCGUUUCCUUCAUCUUCCUCUGCUCGUUUCUGAUGCUGAAUCUCUUUGUCGCCGUCAUCAUGGACAACUUUGAGUACCUCACCCGAGACUCCUCCAUCCUGGGCCCCCACCACCUGGAUGAGUACGUGCGUGUCUGGGCCGAGUAUGACCCCGCAGCUUGGUCACAGCAGUUGGAUGCUGUCCCCAAGGCCUCUAUUCCACAAGCCCCCCAA
rnacentral:sRNA from 1 species